GAACGAGAAAGUGGAGCAAUCCAUGAGUAAAGUGGCGACCGGNGUGAGUAACACGUGACUAACCUGCCCUUGAGUGGGGGAUAACCUCGGGAAACCGGGGCUAAUACCGCAUAACAUCGCAAGAUCAAAGGAGCAAUCCGCUGAAGGAGGGGGUCGCGGCUGAUUAGUUAGUUGGUGAGGUAACGGCUCACCAAGACGAAGAUCAGUAGCCGGCCUGAGAGGGCGCACGGCCACACUGGAACUGAAACACGGUCCAGACUCCUACGGGAGGCAGCAGUGGGGAAUUUUGCGCAAUGGGGGAAACCCUGACGCAGCAACGCCGCGUGGAGGAUGAAGCCCUUUGGGGCGUAAACUCCUUUCGACCAAGACGAUAAUGACGGUACUGGUGGAAGAAGCACCGGCUAACUCUGUG
rnacentral:rRNA from 1 species